CUUUCAACGAGCAGUGAUGUCGAUAUCGAGCUCAGUAGCCGUACUAAACGUAGUUCCAGUUUCUCCACGAACCGCCCCGGUAAACAACGCCUUUCAAGAUCGCAUCAGUCUCACUCAUUUCGACUUAUUGGCCCUUCGCGCUCCUCCCAAUCAGCGUCUCUUUUUUACGAGACGCAUCUUCCUAUCUCUGCUUUUGCAGAGACAGUUAUUCCAAAACUCCGCGAUUCCCUUUCUCUCACCCUUCAAAACUUCCGACCUUUGGCGGGGACUUUGAUCUGGUCGCUGCACUCCGACGAGCCCUACAUCCGUAUUAAGGACGACGAUUCAGUCCCUCUUACGAUAGCCGAAUCGGAUGCUGACCCCCAAAAAUUAUUCGACGAUCCCUUCCAACAAGAAACAGACCUCCAGCAAUUGCUGCCUCCACUGCGAGUCUCAGAAACGGAAGCAUCGCUGUUGGCGUUACAGAUCACGCUGUUCCCGAGUAGUGAUAUCUGUCUUGGCAUCACCUUCCACCAUGCUGCGCAGGAUGGGGCAUCAUUGGCUCUUUUCCUCAAAUCGUGGGCUCACAUCUGCAGACAUGGAGACGACCCACCAUUACCUCAAAACUUGAUACCGAUCUUUGACCGUGCCAUUAUCGACGAUCCGAAAAAUAUCAAACAACUUUUUUUGGAUCACUUAUUAACACCCCUGACACCAGGCGGACCUAGAAAUAGGAGCGUCAAACCUAUGAAAAAGCCAUUUAAUGAUAGGAUGCACGGAUCAUUUAGAUUAACAGUCGACGACAUCGAAAACCUCAGGAGGCAAAUAACCUCUUUGCAGGUUCAGAAUACCUCCCAAGAGCCGCCAGUCAGGAUGUCUACAGUUGUAGUUACUUGUGCAUACGUGUUGACAUGCUUUGUUAAGGCCGGGUUGACAAAGAAGCACGUUCGGUUUAUUUUGCCUGCUGAUCUUAGGAAGCGAUUACAGCCCUCCGUGCCUGACAAUUACUACGGGAACUGCGUGUUUGGCUGUAAUGUUGAUAUGUCUAGUGAUGAUAUAGCUGGACAAGAUGGUCUAGUGGUAGCAGCCAAAGCUAUCAGCGCCGUAGUGAGCGAAUUGGAUGCAAAUGAUCAUCGGAAAUUUUUUGAGAAUUUUCUGUUGAAUAACACGAUAUCUCAGGAGGAAACAAAGGUGGGUGUGGGAGGGUCAAUGUAUUUCAGUCUUGAUGAAAAGGAUUUCGGCUGGGGUGGACCAAAACAUUUGAAGAAUGUCCCUCCGUGGCCUAACCACAUUUAUUUAGCGGAGAGGCGGGAUGGUGAUAAAGGUGUGGACUUUUGCUUGAUGCUAGCGAAACAGGAAAUGGCAGCAUUCGAGUCAAAGUUCCUUGAUGAUCUUAAGUUAUUGGAAAAGUGGAGCUGCUGA
rnacentral:lncRNA from 1 species